rnacentral:rRNA from 1 species
UACGUAGGGUGCGAGCGUUGUCCGGAAUUAUUGGGCGUAAAGAGCUUGUAGGCGGUCUGUCGCGUCUGCUGUGAAAAUCCGGGGCUCAACCCCGGACUUGCAGUGGGUACGGGCAGACUAGAGUGUGGUAGGGGAGACUGGAAUUCCUGGUGUAGCGGUGAAAUGCGCAGAUAUCAGGAGGAACACCGAUGGCGAAGGCAGGUCUCUGGGCCACUACUGACGCUGAGAAGCGAAAGCAUGGGGGGCGAACAGG